rnacentral:hammerhead_ribozyme from 1 species
AUCUAACUGAUGAGUUCGAAAUAGGACGAAACAUUCAUCCUGGAU